rnacentral:rRNA from 1 species
GUUAGUUGCCAUCAUUCAGUUGGGCACUCUAGCGAGACUGCCGGUAAUAAACCGGAGGAAGUGGGGAUGACGUCAAAUCAUCAUGCCCCUUAUGACCUGGGCUACACACGUGCUACAAUGGUUGGUACAACGAGUUGCGAGUCGGUGACGGCGAGCUAAUCUCUUAAAGCCAAUCUCAGUUCGGAUUGUAGGCUGCAACUCGCCUACAUGAAGCCGGAAUCGCUAGUAAUCGCGGAUCAGCAUGCCGCGGUGAAUACGUUCCCGGGCCUU